GCCCUUAGAGUUUGAUCCUGGCUCAGGACGAACGCUGGCGGCGUGCCUAACACAUGCAAGUCGAGCGGGGAGAGAUUUUCGGAUUUCUCUUUAGCGGCGGACGGGUGAGUAACACGUGGGUAACCUGCCUCAAAGUGGGGGAUAGCCUUCCGAAAGGAAGAUUAAUACCGCAUAAUAUCAUAGCGCUGCAUGGCGCUGUGAUUAAAGGAGCAAUCCGCUUUGAGAUGGACCCGCGGCGCAUUAGCUAGUUGGUGAGGUAACGGCCCACCAAGGCGACGAUGCGUAGCCGACCUGAGAGGGUGAUCGGCCACAUUGGAACUGAGACACGGUCCAGACUCCUACGGGAGGCAGCAGUGGGGAAUAUUGCACAAUGGGGGAAACCCUGAUGCAGCAACGCCGCGUGAGUGAUGAAGGCCUUCGGGUCGUAAAGCUCUUUGAUCAGGGACGAUAAUGACGGUACCUGAAAAACAAGCCACGGCUAACGACUUG
rnacentral:rRNA from 1 species